UCAAUUUCGUAGCCUGUCGCGUCGAUAUGUUUAUCAAAUAAAUACAUCAAACCUUUCGUUACAAUAACGACACAACUUUGUACACCCAGCACUUGAAACAAACCAGAAAACAUAUGCUUGAGUGUCCAGAAUGGAAGACGAACUGCGUGUUAGCGGUCAGCAUUGGUAACUCCAUAACUUCACAUACCAUAUAAUAAAAAUAAAAGUAAAGCAGCUGAAAUACUGCAUGUAGAACAGAUGAGAGCCUUGUCUAAGUUCAGGUUACCGAAUUUGAUGCAACCAAAGAGUACAAAACAAAUGACUACCCAUAAUAACCAGAUUAUUACUACCCAUUUUUUCCUUGAGUUGUACAAGCCGACCGCAGUUACUUUAACUGCCUUGGUCCAAGUUUCAUAGAAGUCUAAUGAGUUAGUGACUGAAGGUAAGAAUAACCCCAUUGUCUCACUUACAAGUCAAGAAUAUUAAAGCCAAAGUGCAAACAAGACACCAAAAUCCAAAUAAUGUCCAUUCCGCUGCACCAUAAUUUUUAAAGAAAGCGUCCUUAUACUUUAGAUAACAAAUUGCGAGUACAUUCAGUACAUAGAUUGGUGUGAAUGAUAUUAGCAGUUUUAUCAAGAAAGGGGAAGAAUUAUCUGUCGACCUGGAAGGAUUGUUUUCUCUAUGUGUGUUAGGAGAAUUGCUUACACGUGCGUGAUCUGUUUAAAUUAAUAUGAUUGAAAGACUUUAGUAAAGAAAGAACAUGUAUUAAAAUGUGUGCAUUGCAUGGCCAACUGUAAACAAUGACCAAAGCAUGCAAUUUGACUACGAUGGCAAGCUUCAAUUUCAAUUGAGUAAUUCCUUUCUUAUUAUUUACAAUUCUUACCCGAGUAUGGAGGCAGUGCGCCCUCUUCCUCUGAAUCAUAUUCUGGAAGUAGCCCUUUUUCCAAAUCGAUUUCAUGUCCUGUCUUCGAUUCAUCUCCUUCAUCUAUAGGACUUUUCAAGGAAGUGUAAUUAUUCUUCAUUUUUUCAAGAUCAUUCUUUAUUUAAUAAAAUACAUGCGCGAAUUAAUUGCUAUAAUUGCGACAAACGAAACAGCGAAAUCAAGAAUUUUCACUCUGGAGCCCAAUUUCAGCCGUUCAACAUAAAAAACGAGCAAUUUCUUUCAAAGAAGACUUCUCUCUUUAAUAAUAGUAGGUAAAAGUUAAAAUUCGAAAACUCAUUUUCAAAAUGCAAUUGCUUCUGACACAUUUAUUUUGUCACUGCCCUUUUUAUUUACCCUAACUUAGCUUUCCUUAAAACGUUUUUGAGAAGCAAACGUUGUAGUAUAAUUAUAAUGUCAGCUACGCAGUUUGGUAUCUGGUUUAACGAUAUAUAGCACUGCGGCGAGAUUUCUAGGGAUUUACAACAUAGCGGUAU